rnacentral:rRNA from 1 species
GACGAACGCUGGCGGCGUGCUUAACACAUGCAAGUCGAACGGUAAGGCCCUUCGGGGUACACGAGUGGCGAACGGGUGAGUAACACGUGGGUGAUCUGCCCUGCACUUCGGGAUAAGCCUGGGAAACUGGGUCUAAUACCGGAUAGGACUCCUGGCUUCCGGGAUGGGGGGGGAGAGCUGUUGCGGUGUGGGAUGGGCCCGCGGCCGAUCAGCUUGUUGGGGGGGUAAGGGUCUACCAUGGCGACGACGGGUAGCGGGCCGGAGAGGGUGACCGGUCACACUGGGACUGAGAUACGGCCCAGACUCCUACGGGAGGCAGCAGUGGGGAAUAUUGCACAAUGGGCGCAAGCCUGAUGCAGCGACGCCGCGUGAGGGAUGACGGCCUUCGGGUUGUAAACCUCUUUCAGCUAUGACGAAGCGCAAGUGACGGUAGUAGCAGAAGAAGGACCGGCCAACUACGUGCCAGCCGCCGCGGUAA